UACGUAGGUGGCAAGCGUUGUCCGGAUUUACUGGGCGUAAAGCGUGCGUAGGCGGCUUUUUAAGUCGGAUGUGAAAUCCCCGAGCUUAACUUGGGAAUUGCAUUCGAUACUGGGAAGCUAGAGUAUGGGAGAGGAUGGUAGAAUUCCAGGUGUAGCGGUGAAAUGCGUAGAGAUCUGGAGGAAUACCGAUGGCGAAGGCAGCCAUCUGGCCUAAUACUGACGCUGAGGUACGAAAGCAUGGGGAGCAAACAGGAUUAGAUACCCUGGUAGUCCAUGCCGUAAACGAUGUCUACUAGCCGUUGGGGUCUUUGAGACUUUAGUGGCGCAGCUAACGCGAUAAGUAGACCGCCUGGGGAGUACGGUCGCAAGACUAAA
rnacentral:rRNA from 1 species